GGAAUGAAUGGAAUGUAAGUACGCGAGGGGGCGGAUGUAGCCAAGUGGAUCAAGGCAGUGGAUUGUGAAUCCACCAUGCGCG
rnacentral:tRNA from 1 species